rnacentral:lncRNA from 1 species
GUCGGUUCCCGUGACGCGGCGCGCCCCAAGGGCCGGCUCCGUUGAGGGAAGGGAAGCCCGCCCGGUGGCGGCUGGGGUCGGCUGCUGGGAGGAGGUGGUGGGCUGGUUCGGACGUGGGUCGAGGCUGUAGCAGGACUCCAGAUGUUACCGAGUACUUCAGUGAAUUCCUUAGUGCAGGGGAACGGAGUCUUGAAUUCCAGGGAUGCGGCAAGACACACAGCCGGAGCGAAACGCUACAAAUAUCUGAGAAGGCUUUUCCGCUUUCGGCAAAUGGACUUUGAAUUUGCUGCCUGGCAGAUGCUCUACCUGUUCACAUCCCCACAGAGAGUUUACAGAAAUUUUCAUUAUCGAAAACAGACGAAGGACCAGUGGGCCAGAGAUGACCCUGCUUUCUUGGUCCUGUUAAGUAUCUGGCUCUGUGGUAAGUGUGUUUAUCUGAGAUAGAAUUGAACGCUGAGUGUUUCUGAUUAGAUUUUUUGUUAUAAAUGUGUUGUGGGUCAGAAUCUGGAAAUAUUGGAAACUAUUUCUCCUUUUUACUGAAGCCUCAAAAAAUCUCACAGGAAAGAAAGUUGUAGUCUUGGUUCUACAGGUCCCAAGCAGAUGCCAGAGUAAACUGUUACCCUAGGACAUUGAAAAGCAGGGGACAAGAUUCACUCCAUAUCUUUUUAAGUACUUGAAUCGGUACCCAAAUGUCAGCUGACUGUGAAUAGGAAUAUGAAACUGGAAAUUGCAUUUCACAGGCAAAUCCACAGUGAGAAUUGUAAAGGUAUUGAUGGGAACCUGAGAAACUGAAGUUCUCCAAUUCCAUAAUGCAAGGGUCUCAUUUACCUGUAGGGUGUUGAAGUGGGUAAGAUAUUGAAGUUUAUAGGGUGUUUUGCACCUUAACUGGACUUAAACUAUGUUAGUGCCUUCUCUACACUGGCGUUCUAAAUACUGAGGCCACCGUGGUGAAUCAGCCUGGCAAGGGCCCACCUCAGGAAACUUCAACUCUCUCAGUGGCCACGCUGUGUCCCAAGGUAGUGUUCACACAUCUUGGGAGUUUUGUUUAAAGACCUGUCUCUCCCACUAGCCUGGGCAUCUGGAGGGCAAGGGAUGUGUCCUGUAUUUCCAGAACCUAGCAGAGUCCCUAAAUGAAUCUUGUGAAUCUUUCUUUCAGUGUCCACUAUAGGAUUUGGCUUUGUGCUGGACAUGGGAUUCUUUGAGACAAUAAAGCUUCUCCUUUGGGUUGUACUCAUAGAUUGUGUAGGCGUUGGUCUUCUGAUAGCAACUUUAAUGUGGUAAGUACCAUAACUUUGGUUUUUCAGAUACUGCUGUAGCAUCUCCAUUUGUUUGCUUCAGAGGUACAAUAGCAGCAGAUGGAAAUUGAAACCCAGGUAGAGUUACUAAAUGAUCAAUUUUGACUGCCAAGAUUAUUACAAUUUUCCCUCCUGUGUUGCCACCUAUAUCAGAAAAUACUAUAAAGGCUGGUUUAUAAUAUUGUCAAAUGUAGCAAAUAAUUGAAAUAAUUAUGUUUUGAACCCAAAAUAUCUGAGAUCGGUCUCAAUUUAGAAAGUUUAGUUUGCCAAAGUUAAGGACAUGCCUGUGACACAGCCUUAGGAGGUCCUGAUGACAUGUGCCCAAGGUGGUCGGGGCACAGCUUGCUCUUAUACAUUUUAGGGAGACUUGAGACAUCAGUCAAUAUGUGUAAAAUGUACAUUGUUUUAAUCCAGAAAGUGGGGAAAGGCAGGUUACAGUUAGAUAAGAGACAAAUGGUUGCAUUCUUUUGAGUCUUUGAUCUGCCUUUCACUGAAUACACAAUUUACUUGUGAGAGGCAGGUACAGGAAUAGUCAUUUAUGCCUUAAUCUGGCUCAGUGAGUCUGCAUUUUUACAUAAACAAUGGGGCAGAGGAAGCAAUCAGAUAAACACUUGUCUCAGGUGAGUAGAAGGAGGACUUUCUGUCCCACACCUGUAAAGAUAAGCUAUCUUAGGAAUAAAAUAGGAGGCAAGUUUGCCUGACACAGUUACCAGCUUGACUUUUCCCUUUGGCUUAGUGAUUUUGGGGUCCCGAGAUUUAUUUUCUGCAUACUAACAAAAUGCCUGGUUUUGCAAAAAUAUUACAGAUUUAGCCAGUUCUGCUUAAGUUGUC